rnacentral:rRNA from 1 species
GACGAACGCUGGCGGCGUGCUUAACACAUGCAAGUCGAACGAAAAGAGGGAAAGAGCUUGCUCUUUCCGGAAUUGAGUGGCAAACGGGUGAGUAACACGUAAACAACCUGCCUUCAGGAUGGGGACAACAGACGGAAACGACUGCUAAUACCGAAUAAGUUCCAAGGGCCGCAUGGCCCAUGGAAGAAAAGGUGGCCUCUACCUGUAAGCUAUCGCCUGAAGAGGGGUUUGCGUCUGAUUAGCUGGUUGGAGGGGUAACGGCCCACCAAGGCGACGAUCAGGAGCCGGUCUGAGAGGAUGAACGGCCACACUGGGACUGAGACACGGUCCAGACUCCUACGGGAGGCAGCAGUGGGGAAUCUUCCGCAAUGGGCGAAAGCCUGACGGAGCAACGCCGCGUGAGUGAUGACGGCCUUCGGGUUGUAAAACUCUGUGAUCCGGGACGAAAAGGCAGAGUGCGAAGAACAAACUGCAUUGACGGUACCGGAAAAGCAAGCCACGGCUAACUACGUG